UACAGAGACCUCAAGCGUUAUCCGGAAUCAUUGGGCGUAAAGCGUGCCGAUAGGUGGUUUUAUUAGUCUUGGGUAAAAGCCAGAAGCUCAACUUCUGAGUUUGCUUAAGAUACUGUAAAACUAGAGGGGCAAAGAGGUGCUUGGAACGAAUGGUGUAGUAGUGAAAUGCGUUGAUAUCAUUCGGAACACCGAAAGCGAAGGCAGAGCACUGGGUGCCACCUGACACUGCUAGGACGAAAGCGUGGGGAGCGAACAGG
rnacentral:rRNA from 1 species